AAAACUUUGGCCACAAAAGAUGGUUUUACCACAUAAUCAAAACCAAAUCAGCCACAGCCAACACCAUAAUGAAAUUAUGAGUUUUAUAUUUUAACUGCCACUACAGCUUUUUUUUUUUUUGUCAAUGGAUAAUGGUUUCAUUAAGAGCCUAAAAAAUCAGGCGGAGGAUACAAUGCAGAUUGAGGGUAGUGGGGAAUAGACUCAUCACAAGGGAACAACCUUGUCCCACUACAACUAUGAACCUCCUGAAAAAAGACAGACUCUUAAGGGAAAGAAACCACUAACAGGAGAAACCUCCUCUUCAUAUUCAAAGGCAUCUGAGCAUGGCGCCGGUGGAGGGGUUUCUCUUCCCGGCUCGCGAUCUUGGAAAGGAAGGGUAGACAAUCCAAUCGAAUGGCAGCAUCUAGACUUGCAUCGAAAGGACUUAAUCCCGCAUCGAAUGCCACUACAGCUUAAAAAUAUGUAAACUUAAUACACUUCAGUGAUAUUUUAACUAUCACUUUUUGGUGCAAGUUAGUGAGGCUUAAAUAUAGGGAAAAGCCCAAAUUGUUUGGUCACACAGAAAGCCUAAACGUUCACGAGGCUAAACAAAAUCAUGUGGUUACCAGUUCUAUUCUACCAACAAAAAUGUUGUUAUGACUGUAAAAAAAAAUGUUGUUAUUAAAAAUGGUCAAUUUAAUUUAAUAAAGAAAAAAAAUACUCAUUGCGAACCGUUAAUAAUUCUUCUUCUCACACCUACCUACCUCUGCAACCAACAUUCCCAUAUCCUCCAAAUCCAAUCUAUACUAGACACAAGCCCUUUAGAACGACAAAAUUCCGACGUGGCGUUCUCCCAGCAACUUGCCACGCGUCAGCUUCUCCCGCUUCCUUUCAAGGCUGUUACGGUUUAUUCUUCUCUGCUCCCUUUAAUGUUGUUAGCUUAGCUGUAAGGGAUGUAUAUGUUUAUUAGCUGUGGGAUAAAUAUGUUUUUCAAACUAUGCAUAUUUCAGAUCAUAUACAAAUGUUUGCAUAUUAUGUUUGUAUAAUAUUUCUCCCGGUUGAAAAGUUUUAUCCACGAUCUUCCUAGUUCCCACUGCUAGCUAGCUGUCUGGAAUUCUUAUGUUUCUCCCACUUUUAAAAUUUGAAAUUUGAAAUCCACCUCAAGUCCAUUUUCACAUAGAGUAUUGCUCCCGGUUUGUGUUUUUUCCGGCUAUAUAUAAAUUAAGAGCAAGGCUUUCAGAUCUACCACACCCAUCCACCAACACUCAAUUGCUUUCCCACCUCCAGCCAACGCCUCCUUCAUCUUGUGUGUGAAGCCACACACAACAACUUCCAAACCCCGGUGCUUCCGAAAAAUCCAUCGGUAAGAUCUCCUCCUCCUCCUCCCUUUUGCUCAUUUAUCUUUGACCAUUUUCUUCUUUCAAUCGUUUUUUUGUUGUUCUUCUUCUCCUUUGUUUUCAUAUAUCAGAACAAGAGAGUGAGAGAGUGGGAAUCGUUUUUAUGCUCCACCCACACCUUCCAUGCAAGACAAGUUUGAAGAUAAUGAGGUGAUUUUUUACUGGGAAAAGAGAAGGAGGUGGAUGGAUGAAUGUUAACGAGAAAGAGAACUUUCUGGAAUUUGGAGAAAGAGAGUGGGAGUUUGGUUUCAACUGUAAGGGAGGAACAAGAGGGCUAGAAAUAAAGCCAUAACAAACACAACCACCACUACAAUGGCAGUGAUAAGCAGAUGGUGUUCCUUUUUUUUAUGUUUUUGAACUGAGGGUGGGGGCUGAUGCUGUUGCACGGGUUGCUAACAAGUUAUCGACAUAGACCUUGAUUUCCUGUUAAUUUGCACUAGAAAAAUUAGCUUGCAAGGCUAAUUAAACUGGUAGUAUUGUACAAUAAUGAGUUUGUAAGUAUGAAUUGACUGUCAUUGAAUAUUCUAAUUUAAUGAUUUUGCUGUCAAAAGCUGAAGGAAAUAUUGUGUG